rnacentral:rRNA from 1 species
GCGGUUGUCAUGGCUCACAGCUGGCCGCUCGUUUGUACAGCCUAAUACAUGCAAGUCGAGCGAACAGAGAAGGAGCUUGCUCCUUUGACGUUAGCGGCGGACGGGUGAGUAACACGUGGGCAACCUACCUUAUAGUUUUGGGAUAACUCCGGGAAACCGGGGCUAAUACCGAAUAAUCUAUUUUACUUCAUGGUGAAAUACUGAAAGACGGUUUCGGCUGUCGCUAUAAGAUGGGCCCGCGGCGCAUUAGCUAGUUGGUGAGGUAACGGCUCACCAAGGCGACGAUGCGUAGCCGACCUGAGAGGGUGAUCGGCCACACUGGGACUGAGACACGGCCCAGACCCCUACGGGAGGCAGCAGUAGGGAAUCUUCCACAAUGGGCGAAAGCCUGAUGGAGCAACGCCGCGUGAGUGAAGAAGGUUUUCGGAUCGUAAAACUCUGUUGUAAGGGAAGAACAAGUACAGUAGUAACUGGCUGUGCCUUGACGGUACCUUAUUAGAAAGCCACGGCUAACUACGUGCCAGCAGCCGCGGUAAUACGUAGGUGGCAAGCGUAGUCCGGGACAUUAUUGGGGCNGUUAAAAAGGCCGNCGGCGGCAAGAGC